rnacentral:rRNA from 1 species
AGCAGCCGCGGUAAUUCCAGCUCCAAUAGCGUAUAUUAAAGUUGCUGCAGUUAAAAAGCUCGUAGUUGAAUUUCGGGACCAUCAUGUCGGUCGUGCCUCGGUACGUACUGGCAUUGUUGGUUUCUACCUUCUGACGAACCAUGAUGUCAUUUAUUUGGUGUCGUGGGAAAUCAGGACUGUUACUUUGAAAAAAUUAGAGUGUUUAAAGCAGGCUCACGCUUGAAUACAUUAGCAUGGAAUAAUGAAAUAGGACGUUUGAUUCUAUUUUGUUGGUUUCUAGGAUCGACGUAAUGAUUAAUAGGGAUAGUUGGGGGCAUUAGUAUUCAAUUGUCAGAGGUGAAAUUCUUGGAUUUAUUGAAGACUAACUACUGCGAAAGCAUUUGCCAAGGAUGUUUUCAUUAAUCAAGAACGAAAGUUAGGGGAUCGAAGACGAUCAGAUACCGUCGUAGUCUUAACCAUAAACUAUGCCGACUAGGGAUCGGAUGAUGUUAAUUUUUAAUGACUCAUUC